AUGGCGCCUAAAGGCAAAGACUUUCCAGAUGCUGUGAUUUCAGUCACCAAAAAGCAGAAAAAGUCACGAAAAGUUGACUCCUACCUACCGGAAAGAAAUCAUCAGUUUUUGAAAAUUUGGCUUAAAAAAUACCCGUGGCUUGUGUAUGAUGAACUAUUAAACCUUAUGUUCUGUGUCCUGUGUCGUAAGCAUGGGGUAAUGUCAGGGGGGAGUACAGUAAGUUUUUUCUAUGGCACGGACAACUUUAGAGCUGAAUUUCUCAGUGCUCAUCACUUUAGUGAAGCCCACGCCAAGGCAUCACUCAUGGAAGCAACUAGUGAUUCUCCAGUGAACCGAGCUGCCACUGAACUGAUGGUAAGAACCAUGAGCAAAGUGACUCUGGGAAGAGUGGAGAACUUAUUUAGAUCAUGCCAUGCCCUAGUAAAGACCGGACAUUCCCUCAGAGAUUUUAUUUGGAUGUGUAAGUUGGAUGAUAUGAAGGGUGUUGAUAUUGGCCCAGUCUUCAGAACUAACAAAUCAGCAAGAACAUUUACAUAUUUCAUUGCUGAAGUAGAGAGGAAAAACCUAAGAGAAAAACUAGAAAAAAGUAACUUUUUCUCUGUCAUCACUGAUGGGACUGUAGACAGUCUAGGCAAGGAAGCCAAAAUGGUUUAUGUUCAAUUUGCACAUGCAGGAAAAGUGCAAUGCCAGAUUGUUGGGAUACAGCCAGUAGAACGAAAGGACCCUUUAACGAUAAAAAAUGCUAUUGAGAAAACUCUAGAGACAAAUCUUCAUCUUAAGCUGUCAAGCCAAGACUUGGUGAAGAAGCUGGUUGGUUUUGGAAGCGAUGAUUACCCUGGAAUAGAGGGAGAGAACAGAGUAUCUCUGCUUUUGAGAGAAAUGCAGCCAUGUGUGCAAAGUAUGUAUUGCUUUGCACAUCAUCUAGAACUGUCUUACAGAGAGAUGUUCCAGACUGUCCCUCUCUACAACAACCUUGAGGCACUCCUCACCGAUAUUUACCAUUUCUAUCACAACUCUCCUCUCCUCAAGAGUUCUCUGAUAACUGCCUUCAGGGGCCUCCACCUCCAACCUGUGAUGCCUUCUCAAAUAAGAGGGAGGCGGUGGUUUCAUGGAAUGCAAGCAGCCCUCCAGAACUUUCUCAAAGGAUACCCAGCAAUUGCCCAGCAACUGCAUUCAGUAAGUAAUUUUGAAGUGUUGUUUCCAAAACAUCGGGAAAAAAAUUUACUGAAUUCUUUUUGAAGUAAGAUUCUUGACAUACAGAAGUGCCCACCAUAUCAUCCCCAACUUGUGUUACAGGUAGGCAAAGGCAAAGACGAUACCAGUCAACAGAAAGCCAACAGACUUCUAGAACUCAUUCUCCGAGCAGACAUCAUCAAGUUUGCUCACUUCCUGACAGACAUCCUUAGUAUCCUUAGCCUUCUGUCCCAUGCCAGUAGGAACAGAAAUUCUUCCAUUGCCGAUGUAUCUGCUUCCUUGGAGUCAACACUGGAAAUGCUCCAGAUAUAUCAAUCAAGGUGACAGGUUGAGGACUUCUAAGGGUCCAUCAAGGUAGAUGAUUUGACUUGGGGAAUUGCUUUCCAGGUUUGCCUUCAUGUAAUUCUUUACUCGGGUGAUCUUCUCCCAGACCAGGGCCAAAAGAACGCAGGGUGGAAUCAACCACACACUUUCACGGUAACAGCCUCAGGGGGAAAGAAAACAUUUCGACCGUGAGAAAGGCGGUUUUAACACAUCUUAUUGAGAGAUUGCGAGGCUGUUUUAGAGAUGCCAGCCUUGAUGUGGUGAGAGCAACUGUGAUUGGAAGCUUUAGACUGUGGCCUACAAAGAUGAAUCAAGGUAACCCAUAGGCACCAAAUAAGCCAGUGCCUUUUGAUUGCGUGAAUUUAUUUUAGCUAUGUGACAUUUUUGUUUAUGUCUAUGGGUUACAGAAUUUGGAGUAAAAGAGAUAUCCAUCCUGAUUUCACAUUACCAACCAGUUCUAGAAGCUGCCAGUGUGAAAACUGAUGAGGUACAUACCGAAUGGAGCACAUUAAAAUUAGAAAUAUAUGCCAG
rnacentral:lncRNA from 1 species